GCUGGGCGUGGUGGCGCACGCCUGUAAUCCCAGCUACUCAGGAGGCUGAGGCAGGAGAAUUGCUUGAACCUGGGAGGCGGAGGUUGCAGUGAGCCGAGGUUGUGCCACUGCACUCCAGCCUGGGUGACAGAGCAAGACUCUGUCUCAA
rnacentral:SRP_RNA from 2 species